ACCGGCGUAAGGGGCAGUAAGGCAUGGAUACCUACCCCGGGGUUCGGGAUAGCCACCAGAAAUGGUGGGUAAUACCGGAUGAUGUCGUGAGACCAAAGAUUUAUCGCCCUGGGAGGGGCCCAUGUGAUAUUAGCUUGUUGGUGAGGUAACGGCUCACCAAGGCUCAGAUGUCUAGCGGGUGUGAGAGCACGACCCGCGCCACUCGCACUGAGACACUGGCGAGACACCUACGGGUGGCUGCAGUCGAGGAUCUUCGUCAAUGGGGGCAACCCUGAACGAGCGAUGCCGCGUGCGCGAUGAAGGCCUUCGGGUUGUAAAGCGCGAAAGUGGGGAGAAAAGCCGAAAGGUGUGAUCUAUCCACAGUAAGCUCGGGCUAAGUUCGUGCCAGCAGCCGCGGUAAGACGAACCGAGCGAACGUUGUUCGGAAUCACUGGGCUUAAGGGGCGCGUAGGCGGGCUGUCAAGUCUGGGGUGAAAUGCCGCGGCUCAACCGUGGAACUGCCUCAGAUACUGACGGCCUCGAGGGAGGUAGGGGCGAGCGGAACUAAUGGUGGAGCGGUGAAAUGCGUUGAUAUCAUUAGGAACUCCGGUGGCGAAGGCGGCUCGCUGGACCUUUUCUGACGCUGAGGCGCGAAAGCUAGGGGAGCAAGCGGGAUUAGAUACCCCGGUAGUCCUAGCCCUAAACGUUGGGUACUAGAUAGUA
rnacentral:rRNA from 1 species